rnacentral:rRNA from 1 species
AGAGUUUGAUCAUGGCUCAGGACGAACGCUGGCGGCGUGCUUAACACAUGCAAGUCGAACGAUGAAGCCCAGCUUGCUGGGUGGAUUAGUGGCGAACGGGUGAGUAACACGUGAGUAACCUGCCCUGGACUCUGGGAUAACCCCGAGAAAUCGGAGCUAAUACCGGAUAGGACCUUUCCUCGCAUGAGGUUUGGUGGAAAGUUUUUCGGUCUGGGAUGGACUCGCGGCCUAUCAGCUUGUUGGUGAGGUAAUGGCUCACCAAGGCGUCGACGGGUAGCCGGCCUGAGAGGGUGACCGGCCACACUGGGACUGAGACACGGCCCAGACUCCUACGGGAGGCAGCAGUGGGGAAUAUUGCACAAUGGGCGCAAGCCUGAUGCAGCAACGCCGCGUGCGGGAUGACGGCCUUCGGGUUGUAAACCGCUUUUAGUAGGGAAGAAGGGCUUCGGCUUGACGGUACCUGCAGAAAAAGGACCGGCUAACUACGUGCCAGCAGCCGCGGUAAUACGUAGGGUCCGAGCGUUGUCCGGAAUUAUUGGGCGUAAAGAGCUCGUAGGCGGUUUGUCGCGUCUGCUGUGAAAACUAGAGGCUCAACCUCUAGCCUGCAGUGGGUACGGGCAGACUUGAGUGGUGUAGGGGAGACUGGAAUUCCUGGUGUAGCGGUGGAAUGCGCAGAUAUCAGGAGGAACACCGAUGGCGAAGGCAGGUCUCUGGGCACUUACUGACGCUGAGGAGCGAAAGCGUGGGGAGCGAACAGGAUUAGAUACCCUGGUAGUCCACGCCGUAAACGUUGGGCGCUAGAUGUGGGGACCUUUCCACGGUUUCCGUGUCGUAGCUAACGCAUUAAGCGCCCCGCCUGGGGAGUACGGCCGCAAGGCUAAAACUCAAAGGAAUUGACGG